AUAUUUUGCUAUACUACUGUUAUACUACAGUCGGCAGAAUAGUGCUGUCGGAGUAGGUGUUUGUCAAAUUGAAUUAAUUGUCAGACGUACUACAAAUUUUUGGAAGUUUAAGCACAUUAGAAAAAUCGAAAACAAGAAAGUUAUUCUUGUCGAAACAAAAUGUUUCGUAGCUCGCCUACUUUUGAUAAAUUAUUAGAGAAAGCGACGAGUAAUUUACAACUUGAAACAGAUUGGGUUGCAAUUCUUCAAAUUUGUGAUUUAAUACGUCAAGGAGAUGUGCAGCCUAAAGCAGCACUUGCAGCCAUAAAGAAGAAAGUAACAAAUAGUAAUCCACAUGUAGCUUUAUAUGCUUUAUUGGUGCUGGAAUCUUGCGUAAAAAAUUGUGGCACACUGAUACACGAUGAAAUCGGUACAAAACAAUACAUGGAGCAGCUUAAAGAACUAGUUAAAACAACACCACACGAAAAUGUUAAACUGAAAACUUUAGAAUUGAUUCAAGCCUGGGCACAUGCUUUUCGGAAUAGUCCUAAAUACAGAGCAGUACAAGAUACACUUAAUAUUAUGAAAGCUGAAGGCCAUAAGUUUCCUACUUUGAAAGAAAGCGAUGCCAUGUUUCGUGCUGAUAUUGCUCCACCAUGGGUAGACGGCGAUGUAUGUCAUAGGUGUCGCGUAUCGUUUAAUUUGGUGCAACGAAAACAUCAUUGUAGAGCAUGUGGGCAAGUGUUUUGUAACCAAUGUUCAAGUAAAACCUGUACUUUACCAAAAUUUGGAUUUGAGAAGGAAGUUCGAGUUUGUGAAGCAUGUUAUGAACAAGUACAUAAACCGUCAACUGCACCAGUUAAGGAACCAGAUCUGCCUGCUGAAUAUCUCAAUAGCUCUCUGGCUCAGCAGCAACAAGUACCGCCUAGAAAAACGGCAACAGAACUUCAAGAAGAAGAGGAGCUCAAUCUUGCUAUAGCUUUAAGCCAAAGUGAAGCAGAACAUAAAGAAAAGGAAAAGAAACGAGCAACCAGCGCUUUAAAGUCAAAUACCGGAACGAUAUCCAGGACAACGUAUUCUCCACCACCUUCACCCGGUCCUAGUCCAUCGAAGUUGCAAGAAGAAGAAGAAGUUGAACCUGAACUUGCAAAAUAUUUAAAUCGUAAAUAUUGGGAACAGAGACAAACGGCAAUCGAAGAACACGGUUCUAGAGUAGAUGUUACAAGUCCUUCUGCUCCUAAUAUAAGCAGUCCAAUGCCUCAAAAAGUCGUAAUUGUGAAGCAACAAAAUGGCGAAGUUGAUAAUCAGAUGGAAGAAUUUGUCAGUGCUUUACGUUCCCAGGUUGAAAUUUUUGUUAACAGAAUGAAGAGCAACUCGUCGAGAGGUAGAUCGAUUGCUAACGAUAGUUCUGUGCAAACCUUAUUUUUGAAUAUCACCGCUAUGCACUCAAGAUUACUAACGUACAUUCAAGAACAAGAUGAUAGUAGAGUAUAUUACGAGGGUCUUCAAGAUAAAUUAACGCAAAUGAAAGAUGCUAGAGCCGCGUUAGACGCAUUGCGAGAGGAACACAGAGAAAAAUUACGGAGACAAGCUGAAGAAGCUGAAAGGCAAAGGCAGAUGUUGAUGGCUCAGAAAUUGGCUAUUAUGAGAAAGAAAAAACAAGAAUAUCUACAAUAUCAACGUCAGCUUGCAUUGCAGAAAAUUCAAGAGCAAGAAAGAGAAAUGCAAAUGAGACAAGAACAGCAAAAGCAGCAAUACAUUAUGGGUGGCUAUCAAGCUGUUUCUGGUUUUAUCGGGCCAUCUCAAGGUUCACCAGUUCGUCACAUGCAGUAUCAAACGCCUGGAUCAAACUAUAAUCCUAUGUCUCCGACAAGUCAAGGAUUCAUGUACGGACAACCUUCGAUGAAGCAGUAUCCGUUACAAAAUUACAAUAUGCCACCAAUGAAUUCCAUGUUACCGCACGUGAUGGGACCGAUGCCUAAUCCAGAGCAACAACCAAAUGAUCCAUCCAUUCAAGGACACGAAGCUAUGGGUCGGGUUUCUGUUUCUGGACCUGGGAUGAUAUCUCAAAUGACCAAUCCCAUACCGCAACUUCAGCAGGUAGGUGGACAUCAGAUGGGACCGCCCCCGCCACAACAGGGUCCACCAAGUCAUAUAACACAAGGACAACCUACACCGGGACAUAUACCACAACAACAAGGUGCUCCUCCGCAAAUUGCACAAGCAGGACCACCGAGUCAAAUAGGUAUGCCCCAGGUACCUCAGGGUCACAUGGGUCCUUCACCUACACAAAUCGGAUCUGGUGCACACGGUCCUCCUGGUCAAGUAGUCGGCCUUCCACCACAGAUGGGACCGCAACAACAAUCUACAGGUCCUCAAGGACCUUCGAUGCCGCCUCAUGUUUCGAAUACUCCUAUUUCAUCCCAGGGAUCAACUUCUAUUCAGGUACCCCCAGGAACUACGACCACAUCGAUUCUGACAUCGAAUCAAACGAUGCAAGGUCCGCAAGGACCUGCUGUACCAACGAUGCAAGGUAUGCCCCAGGCCCCCAUAUCCCAGGGGCAACAGAUGCAAUUUCAACCAUCAACUCCUAUGUCAGCGGCAUCCAACGAAAGUACAUCGGUGAAAGAAGAUGCGAAACCGGAAACAGCAGAGUUGAUUUCCUUCGAUUGAAAGAUCCUUUCUUACAUAAAGAUUAACUGAUAAUGAGAAGUGCAUUUAAGAAUUGAAAAAAAAAUUCAUUUUUUAAACUAUUAAUAAAAUAAAAAUGAAUUAACAGAAACUUAUAAUAUUGGUGAUACCUACCACGUUUAAUAUUGGUUUCUGUUUGUUAAAUUUUAUUUACGUUAUACAAGUUUCUAAUAUUCCAUAAUGGUUUCUUGGUGAUAUUACGUUUUGUUAGUACAUUGAAAGAAACAGGUUAUUGCAUCAUUUAUUUCGUGUUUAUAGAAAUUGCCAACAAUAUAUACAGAAAUUAAAUACAAGAUUUUGUUGCAUAAUUGUGAAGUAUACCAUGCCUAGUGAGACGUUAUUUGUAAUAUUUAAAUAGCAAAAACAUAAACUUCCAAUUAUAUUGUAUCUAGAUGAAAUGUAUGUACAAAAUACUUGUAUGUUACAUAGCAUAAAGGAACUGAAGAACAUUAGUUUUACCUCA